UCAGAUUAAAAUUGGGUUGGACUUGGGUAUGUGAGCACAAAGUUCUUUGUCUGUACUAUAGGUAUUCUGAAGAGAGAGAGACCACUAGGAGGAGAGGCUGAGAGGCAAUGUUGGUUGCUAGAGACCGGAGUGAGUAGACUCAUCCAUAGCUGUUGGCUUAAUCGUAUUUUGAAAUUGGAACUCAGGACUUUGAAGUAGAAAAGAGCUUAGCUUGAGACACUGAGAGAUAUCAGACAUGGUGGGGCUUGUUGGGAGACUGUGGAACUUACAAUAUAAGAGCAUAGUGAAAGAAGCAUCGGGAAAAACCCUUGCAGUGGCAAAGUUCUUCUGCGUCCUCCACGUCACCAACACCUGCCUCUGCACCUUUGCCCUUGCCUAUGGUCCCAGCAUGGUCCCGACCUUUAAUCUAACUGGCGAUAUGUUCCUGGCAGAGCGGCUCUCCAUCAAAUUUGGCAAAGUGGGCCCCGGAGAUAUUGUCCUCUUACGCUGUCAUGAAUCUCCUCGAAAAGUCAUGGUGAAGCGCUUGUUGGGAUUGGAGUCUCAUUCUGUCACCUAUGUUGUCGACCCCAUGAAAAGUGAUAGAUGUGACACUAUUGUGGUUCCAAAGGGACAUGUUUGGGUAGAGGGAGACAACAUCUAUAAUUCCAGAGAUUCAAGACAAUUUGGUCCUGUUCCCUAUGGCCUCCUUGAAGGCAAAGUAUUCUGUAAGAUAUGGCCUCCUAAAGAAUUUGGAUCAGUGAUGAAGAGCGGAAUGAAGGAUCCAGAUUUAUAAGGCUUUGUGGUGGAUGCUAUUUAGCUUUACGAUACUAAUAACAAGUUACCUUUGACGCCUUUUCCUGGACUUAUGUUCUAAUUAGCUAAGACUAACAAAGUGUCAUAUGCUGACUAUCUCUACAGUUUAUAAUGGCUUACGAGUUUAGAGGGGAGAAUUAUCAGCUCUUUGCGUUUGGAUUUUCUGCCUUGUUUACUAUGUCUAGCUAACAGUCUUGUAACUUAGUGAGUGACAUUACCUUUUCUCCUUUAUGAGGAUAAUCAAGGUUGGAAUCCCUCUCUACCUCACUUGUUAUAACAAUUGAAUUAAAAAAAAUAAAAUAAAAUAAAAAUUGUUUA